ACGCCCACGCUUCCGUUUCCAAUCCCUGUCAUUUUAAUAUCUAUGAUACAACAGGGAUUGGAAACGGCCCGGUAUCAUGUGAUCUUUUCCUUAACAUUUCAAUGAGACAACAAAAAUUGUCAAAAAAACCUAGGCGUGUUACGGGUUAAAAAGAGAUAUCCAGGGAUAUUCUUCAGAAAAGUCUCGAGAAAGUCAUCUGUCUAAUGACUUUUUAAGAUUUGAGUAGUCCCCGUUCUAGGAAAACUUUGGCUGCAUAAAGCUCUCUUUCGAAGCUUCUACAUUGAUGACACAACAGCUGUUAUGAUGAGAUGUCUAGAUUGAUGUGACUAUUAUCCAAUGUACUGAGUGUUUUUAAUCUUAAUUUUCUCUUAAGCCGUGUUUUAUUGAGGACAUCAAGAAUAGUUGGACCUAUGGUGGAAUUUCUCCCUCUGGCAACUUCACUAUGACUAAUAACGAAAAUCUGUGACAUUAGUAUUGUUCCCUAGGAAUCUCUCCAAUGUAAUGAGCUACAAUGAAGUGACUAUUUUUGUCCUGUGGAUAUUUGGAAGGCUGUUUCUGCAAGUGAAGAAUACUGCCGUUUAUUGAUUAUUUUUGAUAAACUUGCUAUGCAUGCAACUUUUAUUUGAUUCCAACUAUUAGUUUUUACAUUGUAGAAUAGUUAUCAAGUGUCAGUGAUACUGCAGCGUCAAGAUAUAUGAAAUAAAUAGGGUUUGUAAUUUUAACAUCUAUAGGGCGGCCAUUUUGAAUAAAAUUAUUAACCCGUAACGCGCAUCAACCAUUAAUCAUCCGGGUGUUUCCAAUCCCUGUAUACUGUAUCUAUGGUGAAAUCAAUUAUAGGACGACCUGGCCGGGGCUACGCCCCGGCCCAGGUCGUAAAAAUGUGACAGUACAGUACAGCCAGGCUGCACGUUUUUUAAUGAUAUUCAUUUCGCUCUAUGAAAUCAUUAAAAAUUCGUCAAAUGACUGGAAUUGCUAUCAAGACUAGACUACGAAGUACGAACAAGAUUCAGAUACGGAAAUAAGUUCGUUGGACUGGUUGGUCUCGUUCUGCAACAACAAUACCAGAAAGUAUUGGUUGGUCGAAUGGUUGCUGGGAUUGGCGUAGGCUAAG